rnacentral:rRNA from 1 species
UACGAAGGGGGCUAGCGUUGCUCGGAAUCACUGGGCGUAAAGCGCACGUAGGCGGACUCUUAAGUCGGUGGUGAAAUCCUGGAGCUCAACUCCAGAACUGCCUUCGAUACUGAGAGUCUCGAGUCCGGGAGAGGUGAGUGGAACUGCGAGUGUAGAGGUGAAAUUCGUAGAUAUUCGCAAGAACACCAGUGGCGAAGGCGGCUCACUGGCCCGGUACUGACGCUGAGGUGCGAAAGCCAGGGGAGCGAACGGG